rnacentral:rRNA from 1 species
UACGUAGGGGGCAAGCGUUGUCCGGAUUUACUGGGCGUAAAGAGCGCGUAGGCGGAACGUUAAGCGGGGCCGGAAAGCCCCCGGCUCAACCGGGGAAGGGGCCGCGAACUGGCGUUCUUGAGGGGGAGAGGGGAGAGCGGAAUUCCUGGUGUAGCGGUGAAAUGCGCAGAUAUCAGGAGGAACACCGGUGGCGAAGGCGGGUCUCUGGGCCGUAACUGACGCUGAGGAGCGAAAGCGUGGGGAGCGAACAGG